rfam:Stegodyphus mimosarum contig41375, whole genome shotgun sequence.
GCUUUCGUGGUGUAAUGGUCAGAACACUCGACGUGUAUUCGACAGGUCCGAGGUUCGAGUCCCAGCGAGGGCA